ACACGCUCGCAGUCUGUGGGCCCUCCGGGAGGCGGCGGAGGUCACCGCGGGGAGAGGGGCGGGGGCAGCAUGGCAGCCUCCUUACGGCUCCUCGGAGCUGCCUCCGGUCUCCGGUACUGGAGCCGGCGGCUGCGGCCGGCAGCCGGCAGCUUUGCAGCGGUGUGUUCUAGGUCAGUGGCUUCAAAGACUCCAGUUGGAUUCAUUGGACUGGGCAACAUGGGGAAUCCAAUGGCAAAAAAUCUCAUGAAACAUGGCUAUCCACUUAUUAUUUAUGAUGUGUUCCCUGAUGCCUGCAAAGAGUUUCAAGAUGCAGGUGAACAGGUAAGACCUUUUCUUUAGAUUUGUUUUAGAUUUUGAGAAUGAAAAAUGAAUAUACAUUCAAAUAAGUGACAGCUUCUUAGAAGUAUACCCAAUGGAGUUGUAAACCUAAUUCAUUGUUAAUUUUAUAUAUAUGUAAUCAUUCAUCCAACAUCCAGAUUUGCAGUAAAGGAGAGUUCUCGUCAGACAUUCAGGGGUAUCUAUUCUUUGGCAGGUGACUUGGAACAUUUUGCACGUUUGGUCAGAGGGCCU
rnacentral:sRNA from 1 species